UGUUGUUGAUGAAGAGAACGUCGGUAUUGAGGGAAAACAGAGAGGCGGGGACGGCUCCGUUGAACUGGUUGAAGCGGAGGUCGAGGAAGGUAAGGUUGGAGAGGGCGAGGACGGCGGUGGGGAAGGCGCCGGAAAGGAGGUUGUUGCUGAGGUCGAGUUCGUAGAGGAAGGGGAGGGAGGAGAGGGAGGGGACGGUGGAGGCGAAGCGGUUGGAGUUGGCGUGGAAGAGGGCAAGGUCGGGUAGGGCGUCG
rnacentral:misc_RNA from 1 species